rnacentral:lncRNA from 1 species
AAACCAUGCUAUUUGCACCUGUGAGCCUAGAGAUGGGAUGGAACUCAAGCCUUGUGCAUGCCGGGCAAGAGCUCUGCCCCUGAGUCGUAUCCUCAGUCCUAGAACAAUGUCACAGCCCACGGAGGAAGAGUGACAUGCUUGGGAAUCAUGUGACCCCACGGGGGGAUGACACAUCUUUUUGGGAGAGCAACAAGGGGGAAGAGCCAGGCAACACGCGCUCAGGGAAGUAACUAUAAAGAACCAGGACAGGGACAAGGGGAAAAAAUGAGAACCACGACCUGUCAUGUAGAGGUACAAGAUCCCAAUGAUGAAUGCAACUGUACUGUAUACCUAAAAUGUACCAAUAAACUCAAUAAAAAGAAAAAAAAAAAGAACCAGGACACGGUAAGCCCAAGGCCAGGCACCCCCUUCUACCACUGGCCCAGCUUUCCCUUCUCCAGUGCCUUUGCCAUCUUUCUGAUUCUUCUUCUGUCUAAUUGUUUGGUGUCAUUGACCCGAAAGUCUGUCUUCCUUUUCACUUUUCCUACACAGAGUCCCGAAGACAGCUCACCCACGGC